rnacentral:rRNA from 1 species
UCGAGAAUUUUUCGCAAUGGGGGAAACCCUGACGGAGCGACGCCGCGUGGAGGAUGAAGGUCUUCGGAUUGUAAACUCCUGUCAUUGGUGAACAAGGGGCUCCUAUUAACUGUAGGGGUCAUUGCUAGUAGCCGAAGAGGAAGGGACGGCUAACUCUGUGCCAGCAGCCGCGGUAAUACAGAGGUCCCGAGCGUUGUUCGGAUUCAUUGGGCGUAAAGGGUGCGUAGGCGGCUUGCUAAGUUUGAUGUGAAAUCCUGGGGCUCAACCCUGGAACUGCAUUGAAUACUGGUGAGCUAGAGAUCUGGAGAGGAAACUGGAAUUUACGGUGUAGCAGUGAAAUGCGUAGAGAUCGUAAGGAAGACCAGUGGCGAAGGCGAGUUUCUGGACAGAUACUGACGCUGAGGCACGAAGGCCAGGGGAGCAAACGG